rnacentral:lncRNA from 1 species
UUUGUGAAUUUUAUUCUCUUUACAUAGUGGUUUAUAAUAGGUCCACAUCAUUUCCAGAUCUUUCCAUAUUUUCCAGAUCCUUCCAGAAAAAAAUUUUUGGAUAAGUUCUAGACUUUCGCUUCCAGAAUGUUCUAUGACAGGGUAUAAAUAGUACUGAUGCAAGGAGGGUGCUUUCAUUUGUGACUGUGAUAUCUGUCAUACGGAGUCAGUGUUGGUGUAGUGUAGUAAACUGCAAAUAGUGAAGUGUCAAGUGGUGCUAUCCUCUGUGUAGUCCGCAGUGUGAGAUAUCUGUCAUAUCAAGGCAUUUUUUCGGUACUUCCAGUGUGUCCGGCAUAAAAUAUUCAUUCAGAGUGCGUCUCGCGAAGCUCAUCUCGAUUGAUGUUCUACGAUUGAUUGUGCAUAAUCCGGGGCCAGUGACCACUCAAAUUUUUGAGACUAAAGGCAAAUAAAGAUAACGAGCGUAUCCUGUUUA